UGGUCAAGUUAUUAAGGGUGCAGGGCGGAUGCCUUGGCACUAGGAGCCGAUGAAGGACGUGAUAAGCUGCGAUAAGCUUCGGGGAGUUGCACGUAAACUUUGAUCCGAAGAUUUCCGAAUGAGGAAACUCACUUAGAGUAAUGUCUAAGUAUCAUUAAGUGAAUACAUAGCUUAAUGAGGGGAACUCAGGGAACUGAAACAUCUAAGUACCUGAAGGAAGAGAAAGAAAUUCGAUUCCGUAAGUAGCGGCGAGCGAACGCGGAUUAGCCCAAACCAAUAAAGUUUUCUUUAUUGGGGUUGAGGACAUACCACAUAUAAGAGGUCAUUAUAGACGAAGAAGUUUGGAAAAACUCAUCAUAGAAGGUAAUAAUCCUGUAGUCAAAAUAAUAAUUCUUUAGGUAUGAUCCAGAGUACCACGGGACACGUGAAACCCUGUGGGAAGCAGGAGGGACCACCCUCCAAGGCUAAAUACUACCUAGUGACCGAUAGCGUAUAGUACCGUGAGGGAAAGGUGAAAAGAACCCCGGGAGGGGAGUGAAAUAGAACCUGAAACCCUGCACUUACAAGCUGUGGAAGCACAUUUCUUGUGUGACCACGUACUUUUUGUAGAACGGGCCAACGAGUUACGUUAAGUAGCAAGGUUAAGCACUUAAGGUGCGGAGCCGUAGCGAAAGCGAGUUUUAACUGAGCGUUCAGUUACUUGACGUAGACCCGAAACCGGGCGACCUACCCAUGAGCAGGAUGAAGCGAAAGUAAAAUUUCGUGGAGGUCCGAACCCACGAGCGUUGAAAAGCUCGGGGAUGACUUGUGGGUAGCGGUGAAAUUCCAAUCGAGCCCGGAGAUAGCUGGUUCUCCCCGAAAUAGCUUUAGGGCUAGCCUCAAGGUGAGAGAUACGGAGGUAGAGCACUGAAUGUCCUAGGGGGUAUUGCACCUACCGAAGACUAUCAAACUCCGAAUGCCGUCAUCUUAUACUUGGGAGUCAGACUGUGGGUGAUAAGAUUCAUAGUCGAAAGGGCAACAGCCCAGAUCGUCAGCUAAGGUCCCUAAAUGUAAGUUAAGUGGUAAAGGAUGUGGGAUUGCACAGACAACCAGGAUGUUGGCUUAGAAGCAGCCACUCAUUCAAAGAGUGCGUAAUAGCUCACUGGUCGAGUGAUCCUGCGCCGAAGAUUUCCGGGGCUAAAACUUACUACCGAAGCUACGGCAUCAGUAAUGAUGGGUAGGGGAGCUUCCCAUACGGGUUGAAGCAUGACCGUAAGGACAUGUGGACAGUAUGGGAGUGAGAAUGUUGGCAUGAGUAGCGAGAUGUGGGUGAGAAUCCCACAGGCCGUAAACCCAAGGUUUCCAGGGGAAGGUUCGUCCGCCCUGGGUUAGUCGGGACCUAAGCUGAGGCCGAAAGGCGUAGGUGAUGGACAACAGGUUGAUAUUCCUGUACUACCGAUAACCGUUUGAGAGAAGGGAUGACACAGUAGGAUAAGCUAAGCACACUGUUGGUUAUGUGUGCCCAAGCAUUGAGGCAGUCAAAGUAGGCAAAUCCGCUUUGAUAAUGCUGGGAUGUGAUGGGGAGCGAAAUUUAGUAGCGAAGUAGCUGAUUUCACACUGUCAAGAAAAGUCUCUAUCGAGGUUAAAGGUACCCGUACCGCAAACCGACACAGGUGGGUGAGGAGAGUAUCCUAAGGCCAGCGAGAGAACUGUUGUUAAGGAACUCGGCAAAAUGACCCCGUAACUUAGGGAUAAGGGGUGCCACCAUCAGGUGGCCGCAGAGAAUAGGCCCAAGCGACUGUUUACCAAAAACAUAGGUUUCUGCUAAGUCGCAAGACGAUGUAUAGGAGCUGACGCCUGCCCGGUGCUGGAAGGUUAAGGGGAUCUGUUAGAGCAAUCGAAGCAGUGAACUUAAGCCCCAGUAAACGGCGGCCGUAACUAUAACGGUCCUAAGGUAGCGAAAUUCCUUGUCGGGUAAGUUCCGACCCGCACGAAAGGCGUAACGAUUUGGGCACUGUCUCAACAACAGACUCGGUGAAAUUGUAAUUCCGGUGAAGAUGCCGGAUACCUGCGACAGGACGGAAAGACCCCAUGGAGCUUUACUGUAGCUUGACAUUGGGUCUUGGUACUACAUGUACAGGAUAGGUGGGAGGCUUUGAAACCAGGACGCCAGUUUUGGCGGAGCCAUCCUUGGGAUACCACCCUUGUAGUACUGGGACUCUAACCAUAGGCCAUGAAUCUGGUCUUGGGACACUGUCAGGUGGGCAGUUUGACUGGGGCGGUCGCCUCCCAAAAGGUAACGGAGGCGCUCAAAGGUUCUCUCAGUACGGUCGGAAAUCGUACGUAGAGUGUAAAGGCAAAAGAGAGCUUGAUUGCAAGACAUACAGGUCGAGCAAGGAUGAAAAUCGGACUUAGUGAUCCGGUGGUUCUGCGUGGAAGGGCCAUCGCUCAACGGAUAAAAGCUACCCUGGGGAUAACAGGCUUAUCUCCCCCAAGAGUCCACAUCGACGGGGAGGUUUGGCACCUCGAUGUCGGCUCAUCACAUCCUGGGGCUGUAGUAGGUCCCAAGGGUUGGGCUGUUCGCCCAUUAAAGUGGUACGCGAGCUGGGUUCAGAACGUCGUGAGACAGUUCGGUCCCUAUCCGUCGCAGGCGUAGGAAAUUUGAGAAGACCUGUCCUUAGUACGAGAGGACCGGGAUGGACGUACCUCUGGUGUACCAGUUGUCCUGCCAAGGGCAUGGCUGGGUAGCUAUGUACGGAAUGGAUAAGCGCUGAAAGCAUCUAAGCGCGAAGCCAACUUCAAGAUAAGAUUUCCCACCGCAAGGGUAAGACCCCAGAAAGACUAUCUGGUUGAUAGGUCGAAGGUGUAAGUGCAGCAAUGUAUUUAGCUUAUCGAUACUAAUAGGUCGAGGACUUGACCAAU
rnacentral:rRNA from 1 species